rnacentral:rRNA from 1 species
UGGGGAAUCUUAGACAAUGGGGGAAACCCUGAUCUAGCCAUGCCGCGUGAUCGAUGAAGGCCUUAGGGUUGUAAAGAUCUUUCAGAUGGGAAGAUAAUGACGGUACCAUCAGAAGAAGCCCCGGCUAACUCCGUGCCAGCAGCCGCGGUAAUACGGAGGGGGCUAGCGUUAUUCGGAAUUACUGGGCGUAAAGCGCACGUAGGCGGAUUAGAAGGUCAGAGGUGAAAUCCCAGGGCUCAACCUUGGAACUGCCUUUGAAACUCCUAGUCUUGAGGUCGAGAGAGGUGAGUGGAAUGCCGAGUGUAGAGGUGAAAUUCGUAGAUAUUCGGAGGAACACCAGUGGCGAAGGCGGCUCACUGGCUCGAUACUGACGCUGAGGUGCGAAAGCGUGGGGAGCAAACA